rnacentral:lncRNA from 1 species
ACUUGAUUUGGAGCAUGCCUGAAAUUGAUUUUUCAGAAGCUGAAAAAGCUGAUGUGCAAUGGCACGAUAUCGGCUCACUGCGACAUCCACCUCCUGGGUUCAAGUGAUUCUCCUGCCUCAGCCUCCCGAGUAGCUGGGAUUACAGGCGUGCGCCGCCAUGCCCCACUAAUUUUGUAUUUUUAGUAGAGAUGGGCUUUCUCCAUGUUGGUCAGUCUGGUCUUGAACUCCUGACCUCAGGUGAUCCACCCUCCCUUGACCUCCCAAAGUGCUGGGAUUACAGGCGUGAGCCACCACACCCGGCUCACUUUCUUUAACUUUAAUAGAAUGAAAAUACAAAUCAAACCAAUCCAAUUUCUUGAGAAUAAAUUUUGAACUUGUAACACCAUUUCAGUAUAAAAAUGACACUUUGUUGCCUUA